rnacentral:rRNA from 1 species
UACGUAGGGGGCAAGCGUUGUCCGGAUUUAUUGGGCGUAAAGAGCGUGUAGGCGGCCUGGUAGGUCAGCUGUGAAAACUCGAGGCUCAACCUCGAGACGCCGGUUGAAACCAUCAGGCUAGAGUCCGGAAGAGGAGAGUGGAAUUCCCGGUGUAGCGGUGAAAUGCGCAGAUAUCGGGAAGAACACCCGUGGCUAAGGCGGCUCUCCAGUACGGUACUGACGCUGAGACGCGAAAGCGUGGGGAGCGAACAGG